UACAGAGGUCUCAAGCGUUGUUCGGAUUCAUUGGGCGUAAAGGGUGUGUAGGUGGCGCGCUAAGUCGGGUGUGAAAUUUCGGAGUUUAACUCCGAAACUGCAUUCGAUACUGGCGUGCUUGAGGACUGGAGAGGAGACUGGAAUUCAUGGUGUAGCAGUGAAAUGCGUAGAGAUCAUGGGGAAGACCAGUGGCGAAGGCGGGUCUCUGGACCGCAACUGACGCUGAGACACGAAAGCGUGGGGAGCAAACAGG
rnacentral:rRNA from 1 species